rnacentral:rRNA from 1 species
AGAGUUUGAUCAUGGCUCAGGACGAACGCUGGCGGCGUGCUUAACACAUGCAAGUCUACGAGAAUAAGGUAGCAAUAUCUUUAGUAAAGUGGCGCACGGGUGAGUAACACGUAAGUAAUCUACCUUCAGGUUUGGAAUAACCCCGAGAAAUCGGUGCUAAUACCGAAUGAUGCAGCGGCACCACAUGGUGAUGUUGUUAAAGUUCUUGAAGCGCCUGAAGAUGAGCUUGCGUCUGAUUAGCUAGUUGGUAGGGUAACGGCCUACCAAGGCAACGAUCAGUAGCUGGUCUGAGAGGAUGAUCAGCCACACUGGAACUGAGACACGGUCCAGACUCCUACGGGAGGCAGCAGUGAGGAAUAUUGGGCAAUGCCCGCAAGGGUGACCCAGCAACGCCGCGUGGAGGAUGAAUGCCGUAAGGUUGUAAACUCCUGUUAGAGGGGAAGAACGGUUUCGGUAACCCCGGAAUUUGACUGUACCCUCAGAGAAAGCCCCGGCUAACUACGUGCCAGCAGCCGCGGUAAUACGUAGGGGGCUAGCGUUGUCCGGAUUUACUGGGUGUAAAGGGCGCGCAGGUGGGUUGGCAAGUCAGAGGUGAAAUCUCCCGGCUUAACUGGGAAACUGCCUUUUGAUACUGUCAGUCUUGAGUACGGAAGAGAGAAGCGGAAUUCCAGGUGUAGUGGUGAAAUACGUAGAUAUCUGGAAGAACACCAGUUGCGAAGGCGGCUUCUUGGUCCGUUACUGACACUCAGGCGCGAAAGCGUGGGUAGCAAACAGGAUUAGAUACCCUAGUAGUCC